GUCUCCAGCCCCUAACCGCGAGUGAUCCGCCAGCCUCGGCCUCCCGAGGUGCCGGGAUUGCAGACGGAGUCUGGUUCACUCAGUGCUCAAUGGUGCCCAGGCUGGAGUGCAGUGGCGUGAUCUUGGCUCGCUACAACCUCCACCUCCCAGCCGCCUGCCUUGGCUUCCCAAAAUGCCGAGAUUGCAGCCUCUGCCCGGUCGCCACCCCAUCUGGGAAGUGAGGAGCGUCUCUGCCUGGCCGCCCAUCAUCUGGGAUGUGAGGAGCCCUUCUGCCUGGCUGCCCAGUCUGGAAAGUGAGGAGCGUCUCUGCCUGGCCACCAUCCCAUCUAGGAAGUGAGGAGCGCCUCUUCCCGGCCGCCAUCACAUCUGGGAAGUGAGGAGCGUCUCUGCCUGGCCACCCAUCGUCUGAGAUGUGGGGAGCGCCUCUGCCCCACCGCCCUGUCUGGGAAGAAAUUGUGAGCAGCAGCUCUAGAAAUACUGCAGGAUUCACCAGCCAAAACUGAUCUCUGCCAAUCAGUUCUGUGAGGCAAGACUCCAGGGUCUCCUUAUUUAUCAUCCAAGUACCAGAAAACUGGAUAAACUCUCAUCUGAGUACCAACCAAAGAUACCUCUUGUAUGAGAGGAUGAACAAAAACACAGGAUGACUGAUUUCUCUUACACCGAGACAGAAGCAGAAUUAAUCACUCUUGUCAACCUGACACAACUCUGCUCUGGAUAUUCCCAAAUGCCUCAAAGACACCUAGGUGAUUGUGAGAGAAUUCCCAGUGACCAUGGGCUGAUGUCUCAAUAAGCCAGGCUGGAGAGACUCAAUGAUAAGCCAGGCUGGAGAGACUCAAUGAUAAGCCAGGCUGGAGAGACUCAGGCUGACUCUAAGUAGAAAAUGGAACUGCCUUGGUGGAGCUCAAGAACCUGGAUCACCCAUUCUGAUUUGCUAGCAUUUGGGUAAGAGAAAGAAUGAAAAUAUUCUACUCCAGUAUCACAUUUUACAGGUAAAUAUAGUUGUGCACAUGGCUCUGGCUAUUUUGUGGACUUGAUGUCUCACUCCUAAGAUGUUUAUUUACACUUACAGAUUCUACCAUCAGAUUCUAUUUCCUCCUGGACACUCUUACAGUCUGACCCUUUUUUGUAAACCCCAGGCAGAAGCCAUACCUUAUCUGCAGAUUCUAGGUAGGACCCACCUGGUUCUGCAUCCUUUGGUGUUACAGCAAGUGGAGUACAAUCAGAGAAGAGAUCCCCUAAUAGAGGCUGCUCUAGCACUUUCUAAGUAUUAAGCCUACAUG
rnacentral:lncRNA from 10 species